rnacentral:rRNA from 1 species
UACGAAGGGGGCUAGCGUUGCUCGGAAUCACUGGGCGUAAAGGGCGCGUAGGCGGCCAUUCAAGUCGGGGGUGAAAGCCUGUGGCUCAACCGCAGAAUUGCCUUCGAUACUGUUUGGCUUGAGUAUGGUAGAGGUUGGUGGAACUGCGAGUGUAGAGGUGAAAUUCGUAGAUAUUCGCAAGAACACCGGUGGCGAAGGCGGCCAACUGGACCAUUACUGACGCUGAGGCGCGAAAGCGUGGGGAGCAAACAGG